GAUGAACGCUAGCGGCAGGCCUAAUACAUGCAAGUCGAACGGUGUCUUCGGACAUAGUGGCGCACGGGUGCGUAACACGUAUGCAACCUACCUUCCAUUGGGGGAUAGCCUUUCGAAAGGGAGAUUAAUACCGCAUAAGACAGUAGCUGGGCAUCCAGCAGCCGUUAACGAUUUAUCCGUGUAAGCUGGGCAUGCGUCCAAUUAGCUAGUUGGGGAGGUAACGGAUCACCAAGGAAAUGAUUGGUAGGGGAACUGAGAGGUCAAUCCCCCACACUGGCACUGAGAUACGGGCCAGACUCCUACGGGAGGCAGCAGUAGGGAAUAUUGGGCAAUGGACGCAAGUCUGACCCAGCCAUGCCGCGUGCAGGAUGAAGGCGUUAUGCGUUGUAAACUGCUUUUAUACAGGAAGAAACGACUCUUGCGAGAGGCAUUGACGGUACUGUAUGAAUAAGCACCGGCUAACUCCGUGCCAGCCGCCGCCGUAACAC
rnacentral:rRNA from 1 species